UAUUAUAUAUGCAUUAUAUUGACUUAUAUCAGACUUAGUUUAAUUUAGCUGAUUUAGCUUAGGAAAUACUGCCACCGUGUGGGCGUUAUGCGCAACUGCGCUAACUGCGUAAGUUAAGCUUCCUGUUUAGUUUCCUACUCUUGUAUUCAGUGAAUUGCCACGAGUUUCAUUGCUGCAUUUACGUUCGACAUACACACUGGAGCCUUGGACAUUAUUUGUCUUUUUACAAAAGUAUACAAGUGAAUGUACGAGUGACUGAAGAUCAGUAAAAACAAGAAAAGAACGCCUUGUUGAUUUAUUGGGAUCUCGACCAUUCAUUUACAUGUUAGCUAGCUGUCUAGUUCUGCAAGCAGACUGGAACGCAGUGCGAGGGCAGCAUAGU